rnacentral:rRNA from 1 species
UUCUUUACGGGGGAGGAGCAGUAGGGAAUCUUCGGCAAUGGACGAAAGUCUGACCGAGCAACGCCGCGUGAGUGAAGAAGGUUUUCGGAUCGUAAAACUCUGUUGUUAGAGAAGAACAAGGACGUUAGUAACUGAACGUCCCCUGACGGUAUCUAACCAGAAAGCCACGGCUAACUACGUGCCAGCAGCCGCGGUAAUACGUAGGUGGCAAGCGUUGUCCGGAUUUAUUGGGCGUAAAGCGAGCGCAGGCGGUUUCUUAAGUCUGAUGUGAAAGCCCCCGGCUCAACCGGGGAGGGUCAUUGGAAACUGGGAGACUUGAGUGCAGAAGAGGAGAGUGGAAUUCCAUGUGUAGCGGUGAAAUGCGUAGAUAUAUGGAGGAACACCAGUGGCGAAGGCGGCUCUCUGGUCUGUAACUGACGCUGAGGCUCGAAAGCGUGGGGAGCAAACAGGAUUAGAUACCCUGGUAGUCCACGCCGUAAACGAUGAGUGCUAAGUGUUGGAGGGUUUCCGCCCUUCAGUGCUGCAGCAAACGCAUUAAGCACUCCGCCUGGGAGAACGAAACA